AGCAGCUGUGGUAAUUCUAGCUCCAAUAGCGUAUAUUAAAGUUGUUGCAGUUAAAAAGCCCGUGGUUGAAUUUUGGGAUCUAUCCGUCAGUCGGGCCUCACGGUCCGCACUGGCGUGAUGGAUUCCUACUUUCUGAAUAACCGGUAUGCCAUUAAUUAGAUAUGCUGGGGAAGCAGAACCAUUACCUUGAAAAAAUUAGAGUGCUCAAAACAGGCUUGUGCCUAAAUACAUUAGCAUGGAAUAAAUGGUUCUAUUUUGUUGGUUUCUAGGAUCACCGUAAUGAUUAAUAGGGAUAGUUGGG
rnacentral:rRNA from 1 species